AACGUACGCUGGCGGCACGCCUAACACAUGCAAGUCGAACGAAGUAGCAAUACUUAGUGGCAGACGGGUGAGUAACAUGUAGGUAUCUGCCCUUUGGCCUGGAAUAACACGAGGAAACUUGUGCUAAUACCGGAUAAGUCUUUACGGAGAAAGCUUUAUGCACCAUUGGAUGAGCCUGCACUUGAUUAGUUUGUUGGUGGGGUAAUGGCCUACCAAGACUGUGAUCAAUAGCUGAUUUGAGAGGAUGAUCAGCCACAUUGGGACUGAGACACGGCCCAAACUCCUACGGGAGGCAGCAGUGGGGAAUCUUGCACAAUGGAGGAAACUCUGAUGCAGCGAUGCCGCGUGAGUGAAGAAGGCCUUUGGGUUGUAAAGCUCUUUCGUCGGGGAAGAAAAUGACUGUACCCGAAUAAGAAGGUCCGGCUAACUUCGUGCCAGCAGCCGCGGUAAUACGAAGGGACCUAGCGUAGUUCGGAAUUACUGGGCUUAAAGAGUUCGUAGGUGGUUGAAAAAGUUAGUGGUGAAAUCCCAGAGCUUAACUCUGGAACUGCCAUUAAAACUUUUCAGCUAGAGUAUGAUAGAGGAAAGCAGAAUUUCUAGUGUAGAGGUGAAAUUCGUAGAUAUUAGAAAGAAUACCAAUUGCGAAGGCAGCUUUCUGGAUCAUUACU
rnacentral:rRNA from 1 species